rnacentral:rRNA from 1 species
CGCGGCCUAUCAGCUUGUUGGUGAGGUAGUGGCUUACCAAGGCUUUGACGGGUAGCCGGCCUGAGAGGGUGACCGGCCACACUGGGACUGAGACACGGCCCAGACUCCUACGGGAGGCAGCAGUGGGGAAUAUUGCACAAUGGGCGAAAGCCUGAUGCAGCGACGCCGCGUGAGGGAUGACGGCCUUCGGGUUGUAAACCUCUUUCAGCAGGGACGAAGCGUGAGUGACGGUACCUGCAGAAGAAGCACCGGCUAACUACGUGCCAGCAGCCGCGGUAAUACGUAGGGUGCGAGCGUUGUCCGGAAUUAUUGGGCGUAAAGAGCUUGUAGGCGGUUUGUCGCGUCUGCCGUGAAAGCCCAGGGCUUAACCCUGGGUCUGCGGUGGGUACGGGCAGGCUAGAGUGUGGUAGGGGAGACUGGAAUUCCUGGUGUAGCGGUGAAAUGCGCAGAUAUCAGGAGGAACACCGAUGGCGAAGGCAGGUCUCUGGGCCAUUACUGACGCUGAGAAGCGAAAGCAUGGGGAGCGAACAGGAUUAGAUACCCUGGUAGUCCAUGCCGUAAACGUUGGGCGCUAGGUGUGGGACUCAUUCCACGAGUUCCGUGCCGCAGCUAACGCAUUAAGCGCCCCGCCUGGGGAGUACGG